rnacentral:rRNA from 1 species
AGUGAACGCUGGCGGUAGGCCUAACACAUGCCAGUCGAACGGCAGCACAGUAAGAGCUUGCUCUUACGGGUGGCGAGUGGCGGACGGGUGAGGAAUACAUCGGAAUCUACUUUUUCGUGGGGGAUAACGUAGGGAAACUUACGCUAAUACCGCAUACGACCUACGGGUGAAAGCAGGGGAUCUUCGGACCUUGCGCGAUUGAAUGAGACGAUGUCGGAUUAGCUAGUUGGCGGGGUAAAGGCCCACCAAGGCGACGAUCCGUAGCUGGUCUGAGAGGAUGAUCAGCCACACUGGAACUGAGACACGGUCCAGACUCCUACGGGAGGCAGCAGUGGGGAAUAUUGGACAAUGGGCGCAAGCCUGAUCCAGCCAUACCGCGUGGGUGAAGAAGGCCUUCGGGUUGUAAAGCCCUUUUGUUGGGAAAGAAAAGCAGCAGGUUAAUACCCCGCUGUUCUGACGGUACCCAAAGAAUAAGCACCGGCUAACUUCGUG